AUGGUGGUGCGUCGUUGGCGGGGACGACGGAGGAUUUCUACCCGCUGCCGCUGUGGGCCUUGGAGGAGCGGGCGUGCAGCUCGUGCGCGCGCAAGAAGAUGCUCCGCGAGAAGUGGGAGGCGGCGCGCGGCCUCGAUCCCCCGGCAUGUCCCCGAAGUGACGACGGGGUACCAUCGUCGUCGCCGUCGGCGCCGGUGCAGGGGCCGGGGACGGAGCUUCAGGACCCACAGGCGCCCCCGGCACAAGAAGUCGUUGCGCGACUGGCGUCUCCGAAGGGAGGGCAAGCUCCCCCCGUCGCCCCCGCCGCCGCCGCCCCCGCCAUCGGGGAUGCCGUUCUACUUUGGGAUACCAUAUCUUGGUAGCACUAAGUCGAUACUGAAGCUGGGGCGGAGGCUGCAGGAGCAGGCGCGGCGCGGGAAGAAGCGGCCUCUCUCGGUGGCGGAGGAGAGGGGGUAUCGCGAAUGCGACGUGGGCAAGAGGGUGAUGCGCCAUAAGCAGGACGGGCCGCCCCGGGACACGGCCGGCAUUGGCGCCGCGGCUAGGGUACGCGAUGCGCUCACGAAGAUGAUGCCUGAGCCUGAUAAGCGGAGGGGCGCGCGCCGCGUGGACUACUCGAAGCUGACGCCGCUCGUGGGGUCGCGGGAGCCCAGCUCCAGCGCCGCGGCUGGCGAAGACGUUUUGCACGACGAGGCGCUUCAAACCAUCGAAGGACAGCCAGAGGGGCUCCAUGGGGCCAGCCCCGCCCAGUGGUUUGCCCUACACGUCUCAACGGAGUUCAUGCGGCUGCUGGACCCACAGGUGAGUUCUAGUGCCGCAGCUGGAGGCGAUCUGGACGGGAGGCUGGAUGAGGAGGCGAUAGACACUUUGCUGAAUGGGGAGGGCAUGUAG
rnacentral:rRNA from 1 species